AACAAACGCUGGCGGCGUGCCUAAUACAUGCAAGUCGAACGGGGAAAGCUUUCGGGUGAGUACUAGUGGCGCACGGGUGAGUAACGCGUGGAUAAUCUGCCUUAGAGUGGGGGAUAACUAGUCGAAAGAUUAGCUAAUACCGCAUAAGACCACAAGAACUGCGGUUCAAGAGGUCAAAGGUUUUUCGCUCUAAGAUGAGUCCGCGUAAGAUUAGCUAGUUGGUGAGGUAACGGCUCACCAAGGCAACGAUCUUUAACUGGUCUGAGAGGAUGAUCAGUCACACUGGAACUGAGACACGGUACAGACUACUACGGGAGGCAGCAGUAGGGAAUAUUGCACAAUGGAGGAAACUCUGAUGCAGCGACGCCGCGUGAGUGAUGAAGGCCUUCGGGUCGUAAAGCUCUGUCGCAGGGGAAUAACACAAUGAAUGUACCCUGUAAGAAAGGAUCGGCUAACUUCGUGCCAGCCGCCACCGUAACAC
rnacentral:rRNA from 1 species